GACGAACGCUGGCGGCGUGCUUAACACAUGCAAGUCGAACGGAAAGGCUCCAGCUUGCUGGAGUCCUCGAGUGGCGAACGGGUGAGUAACACGUGGGUAAUCUGCCCUGCACUCUGGGAUAAGCCUGGGAAACUGGGUCUAAUACUGGAUAUGACCUUUCUCCUUAUGGGGUUUGGUGGAAAGUUUUUCGGUGUAGGAUGAGCCCGCGGCCUAUCAGCUUGUUGGUGGGGUGAUGGCCUACCAAGGCGACGACGGGUAGCCGGCCUGAGAGGGUGAUCGGCCACAUUGGGACUGAGAUACGGCCCAGACUCCUACGGGAGGCAGCAGUGAGGAAUAUUGCAAGAUGAGCGGAAGCCUGAUGCAGCGACGCCGCGUGAGGGAUGACGGCCUUCGGGUUGUAAACCUCUUUCAGCAGGGACGAAGCGUAAGUGACGGUACCUGCAGAAGAAGCACCGGCUAACUACGUG
rnacentral:rRNA from 1 species